UACGAAGGGUGCAAGCGUUACUCGGAAUUACUGGGCGUAAAGCGUGCGUAGGUGGUUUGUUAAGUCUGUUGUGAAAGCCCCGGGCUCAACCUGGGAAUGGCAAUGGAUACUGGCAGGCUAGAGUGUGGCAGAGGGAGGUAGAAUUCCACGUGUAGCAGUGAAAUGCGUAGAGAUGUGGAGGAAUACCGAUGGCGAAGGCAGCCUCCUGGGCCAACACUGACGCUCAUGCAUGAAAGCGUGGGGAGCAAACAGG
rnacentral:rRNA from 1 species